rnacentral:rRNA from 1 species
CAGUAGCCGCGGUAAUACGUAGGUCCCGAGCGUUGUCCGGAUUUAUUGGGCGUAAAGCGAGCGCAGGCGGUUAGAUAAGUCUGAAGUUAAAGGCUGUGGCUUAACCAUAGUACGCUCUGGAAACUGUUUAACUUGAGUGCAAGAGGGGAGAGUGGAAUUCCAUGUGUAGCGGUGAAAUGCGUAGAUAUAUGGAGGAACACCGGUGGCGAAAGCGGCUCUCUGGCUUGUAACUGACGCUGAGGCUCGAAAGCGUGGGGAGCAAACAGGAUUAGAUACCCGCGUAGUCCCUGUCUCUUAUACA